rnacentral:lncRNA from 1 species
AUGUUGUAUACAUUUCAAAUUUUACAUCAUCAGUCCAAUGCCAAAGAAUGUGAUCAGAAUGCUUCCAACAAUAUGUAUCAUUUUAAUUACUGGCUCCUAUGCGGAAAUCCCAGAAUUCAUUGCAUAGAUUGUCUUUUUUUUUGGUUGGGUCGGUUACUUCUCCAUUUUAGAUCAACAGGAGAGAGCGAGUGCCCCAUGGGUUGCUUAUCUAGCCUAUGAAAAGUAUUUCAAGUAGUGUUAAACCUGUAUCAUACGAUCAAAGUAGAGCUCUCCAAGUGGCGUGGCGUUCAAAGAUUGUCGGGCCGACAAUCUUCGAGGGCAACGGAGGGUCGUUUGACCCCACAUGACGCCACUUUAAGAGCUCUACUUUUAUCGAAUAAAACAGGCUUUAACCGUCGAAAGAAGAUAAAAAACUCGUGGCUUUCAAUGAUAAAACUGACAGCCUUGCAAUGAAAAUCUGUAGUAGUUCAUUUCAUUGACACAAUAGUCAACGCCGGAAGUAAGUCGAGGUGUGAGAGAAAAGGCAAGUGCCCCCAGCUAGUGACGCCUGCACCGAGCAUAACCGAAUUUCAUUAAAGCGCCUUGGUGCAACUAUUCGGGCACCGUGGAUGUCCGUGUUGCAUACCCACGAAAGUGAAGGGGUUUUGAGUCUCCAGGCACUUACCGCUUCGUACUUAGAUCGCGUUUAGCAGAAAGGAACUUUGUAAGCCGCAUGAGCGGUUGCCGAAUUCAACGGGGAAAUUUAUUCAUAUGCGUUAUUUCAUAUCCAUCCGUAUGCACCACGGACGUCUAUGCUGCCGCACUAAGGAAAAACGCCGUAUGAACAUUCGAGACUUGCCAAAUUUCCUCCGACAAAAUGUUUAUUUUCGAGGAGAGUUACGAAUAUUUUCUCUCGAAAGCUUCGGAUAAUUUAGAUCUGGUCGCGAAUAAAAUUCUCUGAAAAAACCGAAGAAAACUGUUCAUAGAACUCCCUGAAAAUUAAUGUUUUAUACAUUGAUAUUUGGCAACGUCUGAAGGCUCAUACGGCGCUCUUCCUUAGCACGGCAGCAUGGAGCCCGAAUAGUUGUAUCCUGUAGUCUGAAAAAUUAGUCCAGUGUUCGUCUCAUGCGGCGCCGCUAACUGAGGACGCUAUGCUUUUCUCUCACCUCUUAACUUGAUUCCAGCGUUGCCUAUUGUGAUAUAUAUCAUUACUGAUUUUCAUAGCGACGUUGUGAAUUUUCUGAGAAAUGCAUUGAUUGUUUAAAUGUAUCGCAACGUUGCCGUCCCUUGAAAUUGCAAAAAAAUGAGGCAUCUGACCAUGAUUGGUAGAGUUAUACCUGCACUACCAUGCUAAGGAAAAACGCCGUAUGAAAAUUCGAGAGUUGCCAAAUUUCCCUUGAUAAAGCAUGUAUUUUUGACCACAUUCAUGCAUAUUUUUUCUUGAAAUUUUCAGAUAUUUUAGAUUAAUUGCGUGCAAAAUUGUUUAAAAUUUCUGGAACAUAAUAUUCACAAUUUUCUCAGUAAUUUCGGAUUUAAUCGGAGGAAACUUGGCAACGUCUGAAAGCUCAUACGGCGUUCUUCUUUAUGCCGCAAUCACACGCUGAAUGUGGGAGCUGAAUGUGGAAGUCAUCGGCCCGAUGCCUGAAUUUUGCGCGUGACGCGCAAAUUCAGCAACGAUUCUCAGCGACCAUCGGAUAAUGUCGGAUUAGUCUGAACUAUUCGAAUAGAUUUAAUACACAUUUGGAUAAAAUAACUCGAAUUAGUGAAAUUUCAGCUGUUGAGCGCUGACUGUGGACUGCCACAUUCAGCUGCCGAAUUCAGCGUGUGAUUGCGGCAUUAGAGCGUCUGUGUAAUCCACCUUAAGAAUUCGUCCUUUGUUUGGAUUCAUUUUCUUUUAGGCAAUAUACCUACGUAUGACGUUCAGGUACGAAAUUUUCAAACUUUAACAGUUAAUGCUACUACCCAAGUAGCAUUGUCAUCUACUUUCUAGGUGGCGCUCAUCAAGAAAAUGUCUACUUCCUCGAUAGAACAAUUUUCUUGAAAGAAAUAUGUAUAAAGUAGAUCUAGAAAAUAGACACAAGAAAAUAGAGAGAAAAUACAUUUUUUCCUCGCAUUUUCUUAAAAGAAAACAUUAAGAAAUUGGCUAGAAAAUAAUUCUACUUUCAAUAAAUUUUCUAUCAUUUUUCCAAAUGGAAAGUUGACAAAAAGUAGACCUAUGAAAUAGAUCUAUUUUCUUUGGUCAGACUUUUGACUCGCAAUGUUUUUUCUUUCUAUUUUCUAGAUAACUCUCAUUUUCUUGGUACUUUCUAGAAGUUUUCUUGAUAUUUUUUUUCUAGGAAAAAAUUCCAUUUUGCUACUUGGGUAGGGAUCUACAAUUUAAUACUACUACUUGGACAUAGACCUGUUUCAUCAGCCAUUGCCAAAUUUAAUUCGGCAAUUUAAUUUUUUUACAAGAGAACGUUUUUGCGGAUUCCUUUGAAAAUUUUCCGGGAUUUGCUUCGGACUAUGCAGAAAAUUCACUGAAAUUUGCACAAAAAUCCGCAAACCUGUUUCCAUGUAAAAAAUUAAAUCGCCUA